ACACACGUAGCCAGUGACGUGCCCGUCCCCCGGGCCCAGAGAGGGUAAAUCUCCGAAUUAAUGGUCCACGGAUUGGGACCAAGGCCUGAUGUAAGAAACAUACGAGAACAUGUAUUCUUCACUGGCAUAUCUUUGGAAAUAACCGAAAUAGGCCAAACUAAUAAAAAUCAAAACUCGGCUACACGAUGGAUUCUUACUCGUAUUUAAGAUGGCAGUGGGAAUAAUUGUCCAAAUGAUGGCUGAUGCGAGGAGAGUUGUGUUCAGCCAGAUAGAACCCGGUACCCAGUACGACCAGCGCAAUAAUGAUACCU